rnacentral:lncRNA from 1 species
UGCUGCUGGAGGACCCGGAGGCUCCGACGAGGCCGAUCCGAGCCGGGCUGGGGCAUCACAGCCUCCAAAUCUGAGUUAGAGCUCAUUACCCGCAAUUAAUGCUGCUCCCAGUUCACACCAGUCACCGGGAGCGAGGGGCCCGGCGCUCCCCAGUUCAGCCCCAGCGGGUGAAGCCCCCCCGGGACUCUCCCCCCGCCUCCCUUUGGGGUCAGGCACGGGGAGCUGUGGAGCAACCCCGGGAUUCUGGAUUUACCAGCCCUCCUCCCACUGCGGGCAGCCUGUAAUUAGCCGCGCGCUUAAUGAGUUUUGGGGAAGUUUUGGGUGCAGCCCGCCCGUGGUGCCCUCCCUCCCUCCCUCCCUCCCGCGGGACCCACAAAUAGCAGGGAGCGCCGCGGAGCUCCAGCAUUCCCGAGCCGCUCCCGGGACUCCCAAACCGCUUCCCGAGGGACGAUGGAGCCCUGGAUCCUCCUGGUGGGGGCAGGAAUUGCCCUGGGCUGCGUGUCCGGCCACCUGUACACGCCCCCCGAGUCCUGCGAGGGACGCUGCGGGGAGCCCUUCAGCGAGGAGGACGAGUGUCAUUGUCACCCCGAGUGCGGGACACAGCACAACUGCUGCGAGGACUACGAGAGGCACUGCGGGCCCGGUGAGCGCUCGGGGACCGGGAUUUGGGGUGUGCCUUCCCCUGCUGGGGGUGCCAGGGGUUGGUCCCGAGGCUCUGCGGGGUCCUGGGGAGCCCCCGGGGUGUCCCCAACCCCCUGAGAUCUUUUUCCGCUCGGUUUUGCAGGUGGGGAAGGGGCCGAGGGUGGAGCUCGGAGCCGCGGUGAGUCAGGAGGGACAGGACCUCCCCCAGGUGCCCCAGGAAUGUCCCCACCCUGUUCCAGGGAUGUCCCCCCUGUCCCUCGGGUGUCACCUCCUUGUUCCUCGGGUGUCCCCCCUGUCCCUCUGGGUGUCACCUCCUUGAUCCUCGGGUGUCCCCCCUGUCCCUCGGGUGUCACCUCCUUGUUCCUCGGGUGUCCCCCC